rnacentral:rRNA from 1 species
AGCGAACGCUGGCGGCAGGCUUAACACAUGCAAGUCGAGCGGGCAUAGCAAUAUGUCAGCGGCAGACGGGUGAGUAACGCGUGGGAACGUACCUUUUGGUUCGGAACAACACAGGGAAACUUGUGCUAAUACCGGAUAAGCCCUUACGGGGAAAGAUUUAUCGCCGAAAGAUCGGCCCGCGUCUGAUUAGCUAGUUGGUGAGGUAAUGGCUCACCAAGGCGACGAUCAGUAGCUGGUCUGAGAGGAUGAUCAGCCACAUUGGGACUGAGACACGGCCCAAACUCCUACGGGAGGCAGCAGUGGGGAAUAUUGGACAAUGGGCGCAAGCCUGAUCCAGCCAUGCCGCGUGAGUGAUGAAGGCCCUAGGGUUGUAAAGCUCUUUUGUGCGGGAAGAUAAUGACGGUACCGCAAGAAUAAGCCCCGGCUAACUUCGUGCCAGCAGCCGCGGUAAU